GUGCCAGCCGCCGCGGUAAUACAGAGGGGGCAAGCGUUAUUCGGAAUUAUUGGGCGUAAAGGGCGCGUAGGCGGCUUGGCAAGUGAACGGUGAAAUCCCUCGGCUUAACUGAGGAAUUGCCGUUCAAACUGCUUUGCUUGAGGCCGGGAGAGGCAAGUGGAAUUCCCAGUGUAGCGGUGAAAUGCGUAGAUAUUGGGAGGAACACCAGUGGCGAAGGCGGCUCGCUGGACCGGUUCUGACGCUGAGGCGCGAAAGCGUGGGGAGCAAACGGGAUUAGAUACCCCGGUAGUCCACGCUGUAAACGAUGAGUGCUUGGUGUAGCGGGUAUCGACCCCUGCUGUGCCGAAGUCAACACAUUAAGCACUCCGCCUGGGGAGUACGGUCGCAAGGCUGAAACUCAGAGGAGGUGAGGGGGGCCCGCACAAGCGGUGGAGCAUGUGGUUCAAUUCGAAGCAACGCGAAGAACCUUACCUGGGUUCGAAAUGCAGGUGUAAACCUCAGAGAUGAGGUCCCCUCUUCGGAGGCACCUGUAUAGGUGCUGCAUGGCUGUCGUCAGCUCGUGUCGUGAGAUGUUGGGUUAAGUCCCGCAACGAGCGCAACCCUUGUCCAUAGUUACUAACGCGUAGUGGCGAGAACUCUAUG
rnacentral:rRNA from 1 species